rnacentral:rRNA from 1 species
AUGGGGGAGCUGAGGGAAGGGACGACGAACCUUUUGGAACAUUCCGGUGGAGAGGGCCAUGAGGCGGUUCUUCUCGUCGAGGGCGUUGGGGAAGGAGCCGGAGCCGCUGACGACGGUGGAGGUGGGCAGCCAUGGCUGGCUCAUCCACCAGUGCAGCAGCCACGGCGCGUAGUAGGCCACGCGGAGCGACCACUGGUCACCCAGCGGCUGGCGCCGGUACAGCUGACGCGCCAGCCCCCUCGGCAGCCCCGACCACCGGUAGUUUAUCACCGGCGCCAUCAUCGCCACUCCGGCCAGCCUGUGUGGGAUGUACUUGACGGAGGCCCAGCCGGCGUGGCAGCCGAGGGAGGAGCAGAUGAGGUGGAACUUGUCGCCGAGGUCCAGCGCGUCGGCGAGGUCCUGGAUGUCCAGCGCCGCGCUCUCCAGCGACCGGCGCGGGUCCGGGUCGCUCUCGCCGUAGCCGGCGCGGUCGAACGCCACCAUGUACACGCCCAGCUCCUCCAGCAGCGCCUGCGAGGCGCGGGGCGAGUCCAUGCGGCUGCCGGAGAAGCCGUGCGAGUAGACGACCUUGAACCGCGCGCCGUCCCGGCUCACGCCGGACUCGGCGUACGCCAAGAACCGCCCGUCGCGCAUCCGCACCCUCGGCGCCGUCACCGGCGGCCCGCCGGGCGCACCGCACGGCGUCGGCGGCGGCGGGCGGACGGCGUUCGCGAACCACCCGGCCGCCAAUGCCAGCACCAUCAGCACCAGCAGACCCACCGGCGGGCUCCCGUUCCCUGCACACCACCGACGCACAACAUGUUAACGAACCGGACGUACACGGCAACGCAUGCAUGCAUGCAUGCAUCCGAUCACCAAAACCGCCGCCGCAUUGUUUCUCCUCAGUUUUCUUUGCGCACUUGUUACCUGUGGAAGCAGCGGCAGCCGCCAUUGGAGGCGACGCAGGAGGAGCUGGAGCUCUGGGAUCCUUAUCGAAAUGGAUGUGGGGAAUGUGUGGCGUUGUUGGAGCAGGAGGCGGACAGCUUAAUGUGUUGGGUGGGUACUGGGCUAAGCUAG